rnacentral:lncRNA from 1 species
UUACAGGCAUAAGCCACUGUAGCCAGUGAAGACUGAACUAAUCUUAACUGCUCUGGCUGUCUUUUGUAGUGGCCUAAGAAUUCAAAUAGAGGUUUAAAACCAUUUGAGGCCUUUUUCUUUUUUUUUCCCAGCAAAUAAAGGCAAGAUUGGGCAAAAAUAUAGAAAAGGAGCUGCAAGUCUUCAAAGCCUUUCCUUUCAGUAGCCACUCUAAUGCCACCAUCCUGUCUUUGCUUUAAGUCCAGGGCUUCGUGCCAUAUCCACACAACCUGUGCUCUAUUGUAUUAUAUAUCUAUCAUAUCAUCAUAUGAUAUCAUAUCUACCCCAUCAUCUGCACAAUCUGGCCUGGUAAAACUAGGUUCACUCUAACGUAUAAAUGGACCAUAGGGCGUCUCUCUCUAUUCUCCUUCCUGAGCAUAUAUAUUUUAUUUGAGACACAGCCUUCUGAUAAAAUGUUUGAAAUAAUCAACAAUUGCUGUGGGAGCAAUAUUCUGGGGUAAGGAAGUCCAAACAUAAGGCUGUCACCCACCACAAAGGUUGACUGUAAUUUAAAAUUAAGUACUCCACUGGCAUAUGGAAGUUAGUAUACUUCUCAACUGCUCACUUUCAACUCCCAAGGAGUGUCAAGGUUUGAGAGCAAGUGAGGAGUGAAUAUUUGCCAGAAAAGACAAUUAAAAAGCAUCCUCAAUUCCCUGAGGCUAUGUAUUUUAUGCCUGUUACUUCAACAAUCACUAUUACAUCAUCAGUUGUACAAAAUUCUAUGCACGAUGCAACUUGGUUAUUUGUUCAUGACCAAAAUGCCAGUGAGUGGUUGAAUGGGGAACCUAAACUACAUUCCUCCAAAUAUUGUUCCACUGUUCAAAUAUGCCUCAUCUUGCCUCUUUCCUAAUAUAAACUGAGACACACUGGUGGUUGACAAUAAUAAGAACUUUUUGAAGGCAAUGUCAUUCCUGCCUCUCCAGACCUCAGACAGCUGUUACUCACUGUUUAUCCUUCAUCACGCCAUAGGCUACACUCCUAACACCAGCCAGCUGGCGAAUAUAUGACCUGUUUGUACAUGACAACCAUGACCAUCAUUACUCCAGAAAAGAAAACAAUUAAGCCACACAAUCAGCAAUACCUAAAGUGAGUCAACUGAAUUUCUGUGAGUCUGACUCUGACAACCUAUGGGACUUAUGCCAAAGAGGGGUUAUUCUCACUGGCUUUGGGCCAGUUUCUGCUGCUUUGAAUCCCUCCCUAUAACUUGGAUGAUUGACAAAUGUUGUGCCUCUUCCCAGAAUAUCAUUCUUCAGUCUUUUCAUAAGAAUGACUAGGACAAGAACCAUAGUGUCCUAUUUCUCAGAAGUUUCUGACCCUAUGCAUUGGGUGACAUCUCUACCACCAAAAAAUACCAACAGAGUACAUAGGAGCUAUGAACUAUCUAAGACAUACGGGCAAAGACAAGAAUACAUGCUAGUCAGCCUGAUGCUGCAAUUUAUACUCCUGAGCAUUUUGUUUCCUUAUCCCUGAAGUGUGGAUAUAAUACCUGUUCUCUGGGCAGCUGUGAGGAUAUGUGAGCUAAUUUAUGAAAAUGUAGAGUACAGUGCUUGGCACAUAGCUAAAACUCAGUAAGUGGCAGCUUAUAGAUAUCAUUAUUGGUGAAGAAACAAGAUGAAUUAUAUUGUACAUGUAUUUAUGUAAACCAAGGAAGGAUAAAAAAUAUUAAUGAUUUUAAAACAAUCUUUGGGGAAAUGACAGACUUCAAGGUAAUUUAAAACCCAUAGAGAUAACCUAACAUAUUCAAAUGCCACCAUUUGAUGGUAUACCUCCAAACUACAUACUUCUAUUAACGUUCUUAAAAUUGGUAAAUAACACCUUGUGAUUAGGUGCUUAAAUAAAGUGAUUAUUGCAAGCUGGCUGGAUAGCCUGUCCUGCAACUGUGACAGAUGACAUUAAUUACAUUUUUAUGCGUAGCAUAUGAACUGCACAUUUUCUGGCUGCAGAACCAAACCAGAUGCAGA